UCUUCCUGCUAGUCUCGUCCGGCGCCAGCUUCCUCGCUUUCCUUAGCGAUUCGUCAGCACCCCGCCCCUGAACUCGCCUCUCUGACCCGGUGCUCGGGUGUCUGGGCCUCGCAGAAGCCGCCGAGGUGGCUGCGGGGCCUCCUAGAGCCCUGGUCCAGUCCCUUGCCCACCGAGGCGUGAUCCUCUUUUUUGUCCUAAAGAAGUUGGCCCAACUGCCUCCCGUGCCCGGUACCGAAGUUUCUGAUAUUUGGGGUCUCCUGCUUCCUUGGGUGGAGAACCCGUUGGGGUCUCCUGUCAUCAUCACCCACUGGAACACUUAAGUAUUUUAGCUCAAUCCAGAUCCAGCUACCCCUGUCUCCCUUCUCCAAAGGCACCCUUUUUGGGGUCAAUGUCAUGGUCCCUCUAAGCGCUUUUUUAGGUUUUUGUUUGUUCAGACCCAGCACUGUAGGGACGGGAUUCGUCUUGGAUCACUAGGUCCGCUCAAUGUGAAUGGGCCCCAGAACGCUCUUGGGCAGAGCAGGCAGGUGGUGAAUUGUCCCGAGGACCAGGCAGUGCAAUUUAUGAGGGUUUGGGGCGAUCAGCCAGAGCAGGGCUGAUAGAGCCUCCUGCCAGUGCUCGAAAGGAAAAGACGGAAGACUGUAGGCGGCUGUGGGUGACGUAGCACAGGGACUAUUGCACUCAUGGCUCUUCUUCUUUUAGCUUUUAAGGUUCUUGCUCUUCCAAACCCAGAAGACAGUGCACGGAGCCAGGGAACAUCAGCCAUGCUCCAAACCACUUGGCCUCAGGAGCCAGUGACCUUUGAGGAUGUGGCCGUGUACUUUACCCAGAACCAGUGGGCCAGCCUGGAGCCUGUGCAGAAGGCCCUGUACAGGGAGGUGAUGCUGGAGAAUUAUGCAAAUGUGGCUUCCCUGGCACUUCCAUUCCCUACACCUGUUCUGAUCUCCCAGCUGGAGAGAGGGGAAGCACCAUGGGGCCCAGAUCCCUGGGAAGCAGAGAUUUUGAGAGGCAUCUGUCCAGUUUUUUCAGUCAUUCAAGACAAAGCGGGAUUGAGAGCCUACUGUAUACUGGACUCUGUGCUGGGCAGCAAGGAUACAAGAGUAAAGAAGACAGUCCCCUCGCUGAAAGAGCGUGCAGUUUAGUCAAGUGACGAGAAAAGGAACAGAUGACGACAACUUGGUGUGACGAGAGCCAUAGAAGUGUGCUGUGCGAGCUAGAGAUGGAGCCCUGGGGGAAGCCAGUCACAGAUUGUGAGGACGCUCAAGAAGCCACACAGGCAAGUGUGUGUGGUGAUGAACUGAGGCCUCCUGCCGAUAGCCCGAUGAGCCAACUUAGAAGCAGAUAGUUCAGCCCCAGCCAAGCCUUGGACUAACUGCAGCCCCAGCCGACAUCUUGACUACAGUCUCAUGGGUCACCUGGAGCCAGACCACCCAAUCAAGCAUCUUCUGAGUUCCUGAUCAACAAACAUCGUGAGCUGGAUGAAACCAGAGUGACAUCAGAGACCAUGAUGGUAGAGCUUCGAGAUGGAAUCAGGCUGCUUUGAACAGGGUACCUCACCUGUAUCCAUCAUUGAGGUUAUUGCUCUCACGAUUUAUCUUCUGACAAAAGGAAACAGCUGAUAAAAGAAGCCCUCCUUUGUUCUGGAUUUCCUGGCCGGGUCGUGCAAGUCCUGUUUGUUUUGACCGCCUCUGGAGUGCUUGCUGGGUGAGGUCAGGGAAGGGAAGGAGAACGCCGCCCGCCUGUUGUUGGAGCCACAGGAAGCCAGCUGCAAGCUCCGCUGUGUGGAGAGGGGGCGGGGGUUUGGGAGAACAAACCCCAGCCUGAGGAGAAGUGUGUCCUUAACGCCUAUGCCAGCCUCAGGACCUGCCCAGCAAAAGCAGGCCAUACAUAUUCAGGUCCCAGAAUUGGAGGGCACUAGGGAAAUAAAGACAACAAGCAGAGUCAGCACUUGCGAAGAUCACAGAGCCAGGCAACAGCAAAGCUGAGGGUCCAGCCCUAACUUGCGACCCCAAAGUCCUUGCAUUUUCCUGGAACACAGCUGGGGGCAGGGUGGGGGGUGGUAUCUAAAACUCAUAGCUCCUGGCUGCCACUCAAACUACAUGACUUUGGGUGAUCAACCCACCCACCAUUAUUCACUGAAUACCUGUUAUGUUCCAACACCUGUCCAGGUAGGCUGUAGUGGGAGAGGCAAAUUCCCGCCCUUGGAAAUCCCCACAGUGGGAGUGAUAUGAUUUGUGGCGUCCAUAAAGUUAUGCAACUCACCUGGGUGAAUCAGAGUCUGAGGCUCUGGAAGCCUUUGAAGGGGGAGGUGGCCUUUUCAGCCUGCCCCCGCCAGAAGCUCUGAGUUCAGUCCUUCCAACCUGAAGCAUAGGCCCUGCUCCCUGAGUCCCACCUCCUCAUGGUGGAACCUUUUACUUGUCUGAAGCACGCAGGAGUCCUGAGAACCCAGACAGCAGAGCAGAGGGGAAGGGAAUAAUACCCCAGUUGGCCAUCUACAGUGGGCCAGGCCCUGGGUCAAGGCCUAGACACGCUACGUCCUUUCAUCCUCGAUUCAGUUCUUUACUGAUUAAGAGACUGACGCUUUAAAGAGAGUGGAGAGGACUGAGUUCUGGAGUGUCUGCCGCGAGCCCCCCAGGACUGUAUUGCUUCCUUACAUUCAUUAUGCGCUAGCACAGGGAUCCCAACCACACCUUCUAUAACAAGUGGUCCAAGGCGCUUCAGUCUGUCCAUAGUGGACAGCAUGGAUCUUGGAGAACAUUUCCAUCAUCUCAGACAGUUCUAUUAAACAGCAGUGAACUAAGCCAUGAGAGCAGGCAGCUCAUAAAAGCACUUUUCCACCCCCUGCCUCUUCUACUCUCAUCCCUCGCAAAAGUGGUCGUGGAGAAGGGGAUGUUGCCGCUGCUCAAUAAAUAUUUUCAGAAUAAAUGGGGAAGAUCUGGUCUGAAAAGCAGGAAGGAAGUGGCUGCAGAGGUGUGAGUAAGCCCGAUUUAAUUGAGAAAGGCUCACUACAUGGUGGAGAGCUUGGGCAGACCGAAAGGUCCUUCCUUCAUCACCCAUCCUCACCCAUGAAAACACAGUAAUGAAUGGUGACAUAAUUUAUUGGAGCAAUAAAGUCCAUGCCUACCCAUCACUUCUUCAGAUGCCUCAUGUCUGACUGUGGGCACUUGCAGUAAAGCAUUCCACCCGGACCGAACGGUGGUUAGCUCUGAUGCGGGCAAGAGCGCCUGGUUAAAGUGAGAGCUAGGAUCCUGGAGUUCCUGGAACCCAGUUCCUUUAUGCUACUGAUGGGGAAACUGAGGCCUCAUCUAUGGUCACACAGCUAGAUGGAGGCAGAGCUGUUCUCCUGCCCACUUGCCACCUGGAAUUCAGGCCAGCGUGAGAGCAGACGCUCCUUGUCAGGACAAAGGAGAAAGAAGCUCAGGUGGCCAGAGAGCCAAGACUGAGAUCAAGUUGAUGAAGAAACCAGGAACAAAAUAAGACAGGGGGUUGGGAACAACCCCAGAGCGGUAGGGUCGACCAGAUGCACACUGAGAAGGGGACGGCAAUUGGAAGGAAGAUCCAAGUCUGACAGCAUCCGGUGUUGGUGAGGAUGAUGGAAAUGGUCACUCUUGUACACUGCUGGUGAGACUGCAUAUUGGUGGGGCCCUUCAGAGGACAAUUUAACAUUGUCUAGUAGAAUUUAAAAUGUGCAUCCCUGUGACUCAGAAAUCUCACUACUUCUCUAGGGAAAUAUUUGCACAUGUGCACAGAGACAGACAUAAAACUUCACGGCAGCAUUUCCUACGAUCAUGAGAAACUAGAAGAAACUUAGAUGUCCAACCACGGGGAUGGAUCCAUCGAAAGCAGUGUAUCCACACUAAGGGAAUACUACGAAGCAAUUAUGUAGAGCAUGGAGGAUCCAUCCAGGACCACCACAUCACACACCAUAUCUUUGAAUGAAUUAGAAUAGUCAGAGAAAGACAGCCUUCUCUUUGGGUUAAGCUAGCGGAGAUGGGCUGGGUUUCAGCCUCCCUCAUGCCCUCCAGGCUGUGUUACCAGAGAGAGAGCUCUGAGUUCAGUCCUUCCAACCUGAAGGACCAUGUCAAAUGGAAAAACAAGUUAUAGAAUAGUGUGCAAAACAGAAUGCCUUUAAUAAAUUUAAACACACAUUCUUUAUAUUUUCUACGGGGACAUAAAUACACAGCAUGCAUGUUAAUGAGUAGAAAAAGAGCUAGGGGGUACAUGUCUUCCUGCCAUAGCUAUUACUUCUUUAGUGGGAGGGUGGCACUGUUUGUCAAAGUGGUCUGUAAUCUUAUCCAAAGUGUUUUGCUUUAAUGUUUCACAAGGAGAAUGCAUUUCUUUAUAAUUUGUAUAAUUAACUUUUAAAUUAAAAACUAAAAAAUGGAAAGUUGGGAAGUUGGGUUUUUGGGACAGAAGAAGAAAUCUAUGACAUCCUAGGUGACACUCACACCACCAUCACCACUAGAUUUGAAGGCAUCUUGCUCCAUGGGCCAAAAACCCACACGAGUCCCUCCUGGACCUCAAUUUGGAACUCAAGUUUCUAGGGUAGAGAGUGACAGAGUGCUCACAUUGGAUGAAAGAAGUUUUUAAAAAUCAGAGAAAAGUAAACCUAGUGAGGCUCUCUCUUUUAGGUAUGCCUGCAGGCAACCUUGGUGACUUCAGCCUCAGAAAUCCCAGCUUUGUCCUCAAGGCUGGAAAAUAACUGGAGAAAGUGGGGGAAGGAAGUGGAGUCUCCCCUUUCCCCAUCUUCUCCCAGAAGCGGCAUUUCCCCCAAAGCAAGGAGUACCUCUGUGCCCCGGUGGAAAAUGGUGAGACAGUCAACACAGUCAACUUAAGCAAGAUCAAAAGAACCAUCCGAUGACUUUGGGGGGCUUUAUCACAGUGAAAAGAAGCGGGAGCUUCAUGUGGCUUGGCAGCUCAAUUUCCUCUCAGCCUACCCUACCAGAUGAGACAAAAGGUCCACCGGUCACUUAUCUAGGCAAAGCAUAUUCGGAGCCAUUGGAAGCUGCAUCACCUGGCAGGCUGUACUGAACCAGAGAGAAAUCAAGGCCCCCUUACCACAUGAGAGUUGUGCAUCCCGUGGAACAGGAAAAAUGCAGAAGUAUCUUGGUGGUGAGUUGCAGCUUGGCCUACCGGAAGAUCUUGUCUUGGCCAAAUUUGGGGAGAAAAAGAGGAAGCUCCGCUUGGUCACUCUGAUCUCAGAGGCUGCAGGCAGGGAAGCUCAGUUCAGAAAGUGACCUCCCACAUGCCCGGAAAUGAGUUUGAUUGUGGAUUUAAACCCACUGCCGUGGUUCCACCAGGGACAGGAGGAAGUGUGCUCUGCAUCUCAGAGAUGGCAGCUGAGACGUGUGUGUCCUGGGUCUCCCCUUCAAUGUGAAGAAAGCCUCGUCAUCUCCUACAGAUGAUAGGAGGUGAGACCAGAGCCCACAGGAUGCCACAGGGGAGGUCACGAGAAGCGCUGUAUUAGGCGUGAAGACUGGCACUUGGGAGCCGAGAUGAGAUUUCACAGACAUGGCUGAUCCCUUAAAAAGUGAAUCUCUCAAGCUUCCUGUCUCGUCCUUAUGGCUCUUCAUCAUCGAUUUGGCUUUGGAUUUAAGGUCAGUGAAAACAUACAGCACAGGUUAUUCAGAAACUGCCUCUAAGGAGGUGGCUGCUUCCUUCACAGUGGAAACAUGGAAUUUGACCUGUGUUCUUAUCCCAUCCUGGGCAACACAGAGGAGCCGGGCUUGAGGAUUGGGGAUGCAGGAGCGGACCCUAACUGCGGGGCAGUCCACGCAGGGUGGAUAUGUAUUCCUGGCAUUCAGGAGAAUGAUUUAUGACUUCAUUUUAUGUUUUAAUGCUUUCUGUCAAAAUUCCAAGAAGCCAUAGUGACUGAUGGGCAGCACAGAAAGAGGAAGAAGGCUGUAGUGGAAACAGCCCAGAUGAAUGCUUAAAGUGAACAAGCAGUUGUUCAGCAAAUGUCUUCUGAGCACCUACCAUAGCCUCCUCGCUGAUUCCCAGGGAAGCAGAGUUCAGAGCCACCCCCAUCCCCCCUUGAAGGACACUGAAGGCUCUAGCAAUGCCUGACCUCUCUGGCAGAAUGACGGUUGACAAUCCUUCUAACCGGGGUGUGGGGAGAGAAUAGCGUCUUAGAGGAGCCCUGGUUCAUGCCAACCACCCCAACCAGCAGUGAAGCUUCAGAAAAACUGAGCCGACGAGCUCACCCAGGGCAGAGAGAGACAAGACACAGCUCUUUGCUCUUUCCGGGUUCCAAAUCCUGCACAGCCCCGAGCACACACCAGUUAGACACGAUUCUGGCCCCGCUGAUGUCUGCCCGACCUCAUCCCUCUGACACCAAGGUGUUCUUCCCACAGGCUACCCAGAGCCUUCUGCAAAACAGCCGAAAAGCCCCGCCUCGAGGAGCUUGGUGUCCAUGGUGGGCCCUCCGCCCAUUUCCACUCUCUACUCCAGCCUCUCCUUUGAAAUAAAUGUAUUCAGUACAACGGUACAAAAUGGAUGAAACAGUUGUUUUUAAAUGAUUUCAUGCCCCUCCCAAAGGCACUCUUUUGUUCUUCUGUUUAAUUUUUACAUCACCUUGGCAAUAACAAACUCGAGGGCGGAUUCAUCAAAGGAAACUGAUAAUUGCUAACUGUACAUUUUAUUUGGUUCAUUAUUUUGUUAACACCUGAUUCCGAAAAAUACUCCUUCUGAACAGGGUGGAAGCGGCAUAAAAAUUAUUAGCAACAAAGAGAUCCUUUUUUGCAUAGAAAUAGGUUCAUUACCUGCCAGCUGCAGUAAGUGUGUGGGACUUGCUUUGUGGCAGCCAACAACAUCUAUCAAGCACUUUCCACCUGCCUCCAGGAGACUUCGAUUGGGAAGCUAAUGCCAUGAAGAAUUUGGUGGCACAUGGAACCCAUUCAGCUGAGCGAAGCGGCAGAGUAUCCAGUUCCCUGUGACAAAGGUUCCAAGGAGCAUCCCAGCCCCAGACUCGGGCUCAAAGUUAUUUUUUGCUGAGUGGUGCAAAACGGAAAAUGGACAUUUGCUUCUGGCACUGUGACCUUCCCCAGGCCCUGUCCAUGCUGCCCUGUCUGAUGCGGUGUAUUUCUGGAACACACUUGUGAUAUAACCAGCAAUCAUUCUCCAUAAACACUCAACUUGACAGCAAGUGAGAGUAAAGAAAAAGUCUCUCUUUCACAUCAAUGAAGAGUGCCACACUAUAAACACAUUUCCUUUUUUUUGUAAGAGAGGUGGUUUUUUAAAAGAUUAAUUAGCUUUAAAAGAUGGGCUACAGCUCAACACUGUUAUUUUCCUUCUGGUUAUACACAUGAAUACACUAAUUUUUGUUUUAAAACCAAUGGAGCUGAUUUUUAAAAAGAAAUCUAUAGCUGUUCCAUACGUUUUCCAGCUAAGACCCAGCAUCAAACUUCCAUAUGUUUAAGAAAGCUAUACCCUCCACCUGCGUUCAUACACACUCAUACACAUAAACACCCGAUCCAACUCCACUGUUAUCCACUGAUGACUAAACCAUUUGAGAUAGGUUGGUGGGGGACAGGGGGGAAGGGGCUGGGGAGGAUUUUUUUCUUUUUUUACAAUAGGCACGCAUAAUAUUUACUGAACAAGACGUUUUGCUCUGUAUUCUUUUAGCAUGUGGGGGGACUCAUCAUUUUAUUUAGACUUUAUAUGGCAUGGGUUACUCAGUUCGCAGCAGAGGCACCUGCAGCAAAUUAAUUUGUUGUAGCACAUUAAUUAUCUCAUAGCUUCUAUUAGGCUGCAGCUGUUGCUAUUAUGUUAAUAAUAUUUCUUAUCACCACUGUAUACAACAGGUUAUGGCAAUAAUAGAAAUAUCUCUUUUUUUGCCCCCCCUCCCUGUUGUUUCCAUGUUUCUGUGUCAGAAGGGAAGGCUGGAAGAAAUUUAGGCAAAUUAAGCCCCAAAGCACACUAUAAUUUUCUAUUUCUGAACCGAUUUGUGAGAGAAUGGGUAACCGAAAUUAGCAAAGAAUCACCCCACACAAAGAUGGCGCGUGCAGAAUUUGUGAAAGCGAAAAAGAAGACGAAGGAGAAGCAACAGAGGGACGGAAUACUGCAGUGCUGGGGUGGUGAGUGUUUGGAUGGGGGCGGGGAAAAUGCUGCAGUUUUCAUGAAAUAAUAAGGUGGGGGAAAAAAGGCAUACAAAGAGUAGGUUUUUCAUUGUUUGUAAAAUAUAAACACAGAUGAAUUCUGUCUUUGGUUUGUUCAUGCUUUUCACUCUGCACAGCAGGGAUGUUCUUAAGAAGUUGCCCUCUGCGAAAUUUCACUAAAUGGGAACCGUGGACCCUGCAUGAUGGGAUUAUAAUCACACCAGCCACUCCUUUUACAUAAUUUUUUGUUUAAGAUCCAGUAAGACUCCCUGUUUUUAAUAUAUAUAAAGCAAUAGACCUGGAUAUGUCGAUAAACUGAGGGUUUGUGUCCCUAUAGCCUAGUGCAAGCUAAAACAAAAAACCAGUGGUAUCACAUCUACAAAUCUCAAUGGAUUCAAAAACAAUAUGAAAAUUUUUAGCUGACAAGAACAUGUCUGCUGCCUGCAGUCCCUGCAAUAGCUCACCAUGUUGCCUACUAACCGAAAGAUCAAAAAUUAUCGAUUUCAUGGCGCUGCGUGCUCUGGAAAGAAAAAGCUACUUUAAAAUUUGCAUUGUUUAAGAAAGGAGUUAAAAGAAAAGAAUCAUUUUUUUCCUGAACACUUUGGAAUGUGAAAAUGGCUUGUUUUAAUCUUAUCCAUGAUUUACUAUAAUUCUAUUAUUUUUAGCAGCUGGAGUCUAGAAAUGAUUUUUUUCGAUGAAUUUAGGAUUUUGUCGCAGUAUACAUCUGCAGUCCCAGAAUCCUCCGGUGAUUCAAAAGUAUGUGUUUUAGUGAAGGGACGCUGUACCUUCAGGCUCCAUGGAACCACUGCUGGAUGUGCCAAUGGUCUGAAAUCAUGACAGGUAAUACUUCCUCUGUUAAACCAGCUGGAGACACGUUUGGUUUCCAGGAACACAGCCUGAAAUUUAGAACCAUUUGUCCUCUGCAGUUUCACGAAAUGGAUUAAUUCACGUCAAACCCAAGUGGCUAGCUCUAGAAGGAAAAGGUGUAAAAAGAUAACCAAGUGUUUUUUAUGAAAUAUAUUGCCCAAGGUCAAUUUUUAAAAAUCAUUUUUACAAAAUCACUUAUUUCACCAACUCAUCAGGUAUUUUGAUGCUUGUAUUUCUUGUUGGUUUAAUGUUAAUAUUUGUCUUCAUUUCAGAGAAGUUAUUCAUCUCAUAUUUUUGGUGAGGCAAUUGGAACAAUUUCUAUCUUGGGGAUAAGCAAAUAAAAAUUCUGAGCAAUUUGUUAAAUUCAACUAAUUCGUCUUAGUGCUAGUCACCCAGUAAUUCUUCAGUACACUUAGAUGUGAUGGGAAAAAUAGCCUGCUGCAAAUUUUACAUUUCCUUUACUAACAUGUGUUUGCUUAAAGUAUUAACUAGAGAUUUUAAAUAUUAAUUAUAAAUUUAGAUUAAGAUAUCUAAAUUAUAGAAAAAUGCUUCAAUUAUUUUGGCAUCUAAAUAGAGAAAUACAAACCUAGAAGAGUUUUUAUCCUUUAGAUGUUCUAAUGGUGCAGAUAUUCCUUAACCAGUUUUAAUAGUGUGCCUUAUUCAGCAAAACAGAACCAAACCUGAACACAGAAAAAGGAAACGUCUGUUAAAAAAUUACUCUGAUAUUUAUUAGUCAUCUUAUUUUAAAUAUAUGACUUUAAUCAAAUCAACUGCAUAUUCUUUAACUGUGUAUAUAAACAUUAAAAUUGGGGCUCGGUACCUGAAAAAAUGCCAUUUACAGUUUUAAGUUUAUAUUAGAAACACUGCUUUGAUGAAGUAUCUUUUUCCUUUCGAUCUGUUCAAAUUAUGACCAGAUGGUUAACUGCAACCAUCCUCUACUCUUAAUUCUACAGAACUACUAGCAAAGGCACAAAUGAGAAAGUCGUUGUAGACAAUGGAUCUCACUGAACAUCAUCUUAGCCUGUGGACUUUUCCCACUGCAGGGCCCCACGUAUGCUAUGGUGAUAGACAGCAGUUAACAUUACCACGGUAUAUAAUAAAAUAUCCUUAAGAUAGGGGAAAAAAUUGAAUUAUUUAAAGAACAUGUUGCCCCUGAAGCAUAGCUAUGCGUAAAACUACAUAACCUACUCCAUGAGUGAAUGAGUAAGACGGUUUCCUGCCAGUACCUAUGUAUAAAGACCUAUUGUUUGCAUGCAUUAA